rnacentral:rRNA from 1 species
GAUGAACGCUGGCGGCGUGCCUAAUACAUGCAAGUCGAGCGAACAGAUAAGGAGCUUGCUCCUUUGACGUUAGCGGCGGACGGGUGAGUAACACGUGGGUAACCUACCUAUAAGACUGGGAUAACUUCGGGAAACCGGAGCUAAUACCGGAUAACAUUUGGAACCGCAUGGUUCUAAAGUGAAAGAUGGUUUUGCUAUCACUUAUAGAUGGACCCGCGCCGUAUUAGCUAGUUGGUAAGGUAACGGCUUACCAAGGCGACGAUACGUAGCCGACCUGAGAGGGUGAUCGGCCACACUGGAACUGAGACACGGUCCAGACUCCUACGGGAGGCAGCAGUAGGGAAUCUCCCGCAAUGGGCGAAAGCCUGACGGAGCAACGCCGCGUGAGUGAUGAAGGGUUUCGGCUCGUAAAACUCUGUUAUUAGGGAAGAACAAAUGUGUAAGUAACUGUGCACGUCUUGACGGUACCUAAUCAGAAAGCCACGGCUAACUACGUG